rnacentral:rRNA from 1 species
CAAUAGCGUAUAUUUAAGUUGUUGCAGUUAAAAAGCUCGUAGUUGGAUUUCGGUUAAGAGCGACCGGUCCGCCGUUUGGUGUGCACUGGUUGGUUUUAACUUCCUGUAGAGGACGUGCUCUGGGUUUAACGACCUGGACUCGGAGUCUACGUGGUUACUUUGAAAAAAUUAGAGUGUUCAAAGCUGGCUUACGCUUGAAUAUUUCAGCAUGGAAUAACACUAUAGGACUCCUGUCCUAUUUCGUUGGUCUCGGGACGGGAGUAAUGAUUAAGAGGAACAGUUGGGGGCAUUCGUAUUUCAUUGUCAGAGGUGAAAUUCUUGGAUUUAUGAAAGACGAACUUCUGCGAAAGCAUUUGCCAAGGAUGUUUNCAUUA